AGGACGAACGCUGGCGGCGUGCUUAACACAUGCAAGUCGAGCGGAAAGGCCCUUCGGGGUACUCGAGCGGCGAACGGGUGAGUAACACGUGAGUAAUCUGCCCCUAGCUCUGGGAUAGCUCCGGGAAACCGGGAUUAAUACCGGAUACGACCACUUUAGACAUCUGUUGUGGUGGAAAGAAUUUUGGCUAGGGAUGAGCUCGCGGCCUAUCAGCUUGUUGGUGGGGUAAUGGCCUACCAAGGCGACGACGGGUAGCCGGCCUGAGAGGGCGACCGGCCACACUGGGACUGAGACACGGCCCAGACUCCUACGGGAGGCAGCAGUGGGGAAUAUUGCGCAAUGGGCGAAAGCCUGACGCAGCGACGCCGCGUGGGGGAUGAAGGCCUUCGGGUUGUAAACCCUUUCAGCAGGGACGAAGCGAAAGUGACGGUACCUGCAGAGAAGCGCCGGCUAACUACGCGCCAGCAGCCGC
rnacentral:rRNA from 1 species